UACCAGCACCCCGAGUGGUCGGGACGAUUAUUGGGCCUAAAGCAUCCGUAGCCGGUCCUGCAAGUCUUCCGUUAAAUCCAGCUGCUCAACAGAUGGGCUGCGGGAGAUACUACAGGGCUAGGAGGCGGGAGAGGCAAGCGGUACUUUAUGGGUAGGGGUAAAAUCCGCUGAUCCAUAGAAGACCACCAGUGGCGAAGGCGG
rnacentral:rRNA from 1 species